UGCUGACUAGCGUUAACCCUAAACCGCCUAAUUUCGACUUAGAAAAUCUCGGCUUAACCCCGAGGCCAGCAC
rnacentral:tRNA from 1 species